rnacentral:lncRNA from 1 species
AAAGAACAACUCAACAAUAAACUGAAAUUUAUUAUUUAUUACAAGGUACUCCAAAAAGUAACAUUACAAAGGUAGACUAAAGUCUACGUCUUAUUCUAAGGAAAACAAUAACACAUAUAUUUCACAUGUAAAUAAAAGAUCCUUGGAAGAAACCAACUUCAAACUAUUUAUUCCUCACCUGCAAAACAUUUAAAGGGGUGAGCAUAAUAAGCCCAGUAGGAGGCAAAAACCUCUUUAAACAAGAGAACAUGAACAACUUUAAUAAAAUGGAUGAAUACAUCUAUUAUCAACUCCAUAUAGUUCAUAUAGCCGAAUAGACUAAGUCUACAUAUCCCAUAUCAUGUAUUUUACCACAAGGGUGACUUAGGCUACUCAAAUAUAUGAACUACCUCCCACUCAAAUCUUACAUUUCCCUUUUGCUAGUCAUCUUGUCCAUUCCUCUUUCGCCAAUCCCGCCCUUUUCACCUAUACUAAUUGCGCCAUUCUUACGCAUUCACAUGAGCAUCGUGGGAUAUGGUACCUCCGAGGACGAGGACUCAACUACACAAAAGUUUAAUCCUAACUUCUUUAACCCCAAAAUGCUUUCCAUUCCCUUAUAUGAUAACAUGUACAUCCAAACAAAUCCUACACAUAUAAAUGCAGCAAGGAAACAAAAAUUUCACAGAAGCAUGUAACCAAAUGAAACAACAAUUAGAGCAAGCAUAGAGGUUCCCCAAGUUUUCCCCCUACCUUUGCCAAUCACCUGAAGUAAGCUCCUAAUAAAAGAUACAUGCAUUAGUUUAAGAAAUCAAGUACAUAGAACUCCAAUUAAGACUCACCUAGGAUGCUAAACAGAAGAUACAAUAGCAAACCAAAACAGUUUCACAUAAUUACAGAACAACGCCAUCUAACUUUCUGAACCAGUCACCUUAACUUCAAAAACUGUACAAAACUGUUUGGAAUUAGACUUUGAGUUCUUCUAAAGAUUUAUAGUAGACACAGUAAAGAAACAUUGAGAGUUGGAAUCACCUUAAACCGAUUUUUCUUGAAUUAGUUAUGGAUUUUCAAAGUUCAGCUACAGCUUCAGGUUUUUCUGAAAUUUCUUGCUAAGUGCCUAUUUCAAGUAAUUAAAAGCAAAACAUACAAACUAUACGGUACAAAGCUUCUAGCAACUAAACAUAAAGACUCCAAUGUUUUAACAUACAGAAAGCACAUGAAACGUUCAAUGAAAAAGGCUGACAUUAAAUGACACAAAGACAACUAGAAAUAAGCAACAUGUAAGGCAUAAAUUUCUAAUCUUUCAACUAACUUUAAGCAACCCAAAUCUUUGAUCUCUAAUUUCAAAUUGAAAAACAAAUAACAUGUAUAAGAACCUUAUAAUCUAAUCUAUACAUCUGUAUAACAUCAUAUCAAAUCGAGCAAGAAUCAAAGGCAAACACUAAGACUAAAAACAAAGGACUGAAAUAAGAAAAGGCCUUACUAAGUAUCUGACCAGAAAUAUCUUUGACUAAAAACAGUACAAUUCGGCUGGGAAUAUAAGGUUGGUGUCUAUCAUAACAAUUGUAGUAGACAUCCUAAAGAUCAAUCAGGAAUUGGAAUCGCAGCAAAAAGACUUUUUUACAAUUACUUAUGAUUUUUCGAAGUUACUAAUAUGAAUCAGCAAAAUAACAGAUUUUGACUCAAAAUCAUGUUUCUCCUUUUCAAAGAUAGUUCCCAGUAACAACAAGAAAAUCCUAAUCACUUUAUACUAAUAUAAUCCUCCAUGUCAGGUACAUGAACAAAAAUCACAAACAUGAUAUUCUAAAUUCAAUACAUCUAUGAUUGCAUAACAACAAAGAUUACAAAGAAACAAAAAGUGCAACUAAAAACAACAAAAUUCUGAUAUCACAAGAUAACUUCUUGACUUUCUGUCUAGUAAACUUUCAGGCUAAAAACGACACAGUUUGGCUGGGAAUUUAAAGAUGGUGUCUUCACAACAUUUCAAAUAGACAUCCCAAAGCACAAUCUGGAACUGGAAUCACACAAAAAGAAUUUUUCUACAAUUACUUAUGGAAUUUCGAAUUUCAGAUACAGCUCCAGUUUUUGUUUUAAAAAAAUUUGCUGAUAUAAGUCUAUCUCAAAUUUGAAGGCUAGUUUCCAAGACCUGGGAUCCUAACAACAACAACCACUUCAUAACUUGAUUUUCUACAAUAGAGAACUGAUUUGGCUAACCAAGGAAUUCUAUGAUCAUGCUUACCACACACAGCUUUUCACAACAACAAAAUCAGAACCAAUGCUCAAUUACAAGUUUUCAAAUCAAAGAAACAAUCAUACAAAAGUCUCAAAGUGAUCUCAAUCUAAUUUCACAAACAAACCAAAAUAGAAUCACACUUGAGUUUCUACACCAAGGUAUCUCUCCCUCACUCUAAGUAUGGGGAUUGCUACAAGACCUAUCUCUAAAAUAUUGAACACAGCUAUUUAUAGAGUCUAGGAACUUAAUCCCUAAGAUAUGAACACAGGAAGUAAAAUCGAUUUGUUCAACUGAGUACUUACUCGUUUAGCUCCUACACCUGCCACCUCUAGGCUCCUAGGGUUCCAGCUCCUGCAAAUUAGCUUGAAGGAGUCAUCGAUCGAGCUUUGAGAAUUCGACACCUCCUGCUUGGCAAGGUCGGUUGCUAAUAUUUAAGAUUUUCCUAGGAUAUUUUCUGGGUUUGAGGGCGGCUUAGCAAGGUUUCUGAUGAGUUUGAUCAAGGAUUCAAAUCAAGAAUGUUUUGGGUUGAGAGGAAGACGAUGAACAGGAAAAACAAAGGUUCAAGUUCAUGUUGCGUGUUCUUGUUCUUCCAUUUGCGACAGGAUUACUAAAAGAAAGGUUAUCAAGUUUGGGCUCGGGUCAAAUGGUGUUGGGCUAAGUUCUAAUUUAUGGGCUUAACACCUCCCCCACUUAAACCAAAUAAGAUGCAACAAAUACAAGUCUAAAAACAACUAAAAUAAUUUCAGCAUGUAUAGUACCAUAUAUAAAUAUAUACACACAAGAUACUAAAUACCAACAGUAUAGAGUAAAAGAAAAAAAAUAAUAUAUAUAUAUAUAUAUAUAUGUAUACUAUUUUUAGAUAUUAACAUUAUUUUUAAAAAAAAUUCUAAGUCGUUAC